AACGAACGCUGGCGGCAUGCCUAACACAUGCAAGUCGAACGAGACCUUCGGGUCUAGUGGCGCACGGGUGCGUAACGCGUGGGAACCUGCCCUUAGGUUCGGAAUAACUCAGAGAAAUUUGAGCUAAUACUGGAUAAUGUCUUCGGACCAAAGAUUUAUCGCCUUUGGAUGGGCCCGCGUAGGAUUAGCUUGUUGGUGGGGUAAUGGCCUACCAAGGCGACGAUCCUUAGCUGGUCUGAGAGGAUGAUCAGCCACACUGGGACUGAGACACGGCCCAGACUCCUACGGGAGGCAGCAGUGGGGAAUAUUGGACAAUGGGCGAAAGCCUGAUCCAGCAAUGCCGCGUGAGUGAUGAAGGCCUUAGGGUUGUAAAGCUCUUUUACCAGGGAUGAUAAUGACAGUACCUGGAGAAUAAGCUCCGGCUAACUCCGUG
rnacentral:rRNA from 1 species